UAACCCUCAAGCCUAGCUUGGUGUUGGAGCCUGUCUCUGGACAGCUCUUAAAAUCAGUGGCGGUGCCUUCUGGUUCUAAGCGUAGUAACUUUUCUCGCUAUAGAGUCCUGGAGGUGUCUAGCCAGAACCCCUAAUUUUCUAU
rnacentral:misc_RNA from 1 species